rfam:Medicago truncatula strain A17 chromosome 2, whole genome shotgun sequence.
GAUUUCAAAUUCUAAUCUGAUCGUUUAAACUCUGAAUGGUUUGGAUUCUGAAUAUAAUCCUAUAGUUGUAAAAUUGUCCGAUCAUACCACACUCAGCUGGGUGGAUUUACAAGCUCAAUUACUAACUUUUGAAA